UACGGGGGGGGCAAGCGUUGUUCGGAAUUACUGGGCGUAAAGGGCUCGUAGGCGGCCAACUAAGUCGGACGUGAAAUCCCCAGGCUCAACCUUUGAAUGUCAGUGGAUACUGCCGGGCUAGAGUCCGGAAGAGGCGAGUGGAACUCCUGGUGUAGCGGUGGAAUGCGCAGAUAUCAGGAAGAACACCAACGGCGAAGGCAGCUCGCUGGGACGGUACUGACGCUGAGACGCGAAAGCGUGGGGAGCGAACAGG
rnacentral:rRNA from 1 species